GUCAAUCUUACUGAUUUAAUGUUAUAGUGCUGUGGGGGAAAUAUUUUGUAAUGAAACUGAAUUAAAAUGUAUACUUUUUUAGGUAACCUCCCUAGUAAAAAUUGGCGGAAGUACGCCAUAUGAGUUUGUUACGCGCUGCUUAACUAAUUUAAUAACAAACAGUUUGGCUGUUUGGAUCCCAAACAAAAUCUGCUCUCCUCCAAUAUGUUUUAGGACUUAUUGAACGCUAUAGCAGUUCGUCAAAAUUCUGAGGUCACGACGAAAAUGACGGGAAAAAAAGUUCAGAAUUGGUUGAGGCGAGCGGAUGAGCACCUAAAAUAUUUUUUGUUGUUUUUGUUUCUGGUUUUCCGUACAUAAAAUUAUUUUGUAUUUAAGUUAUUUUGUUUUAUUUAGGUAAUAUUUAUAAUAAAUUUAAAGGUAUUCUUGUUUAAGUUCUUAAUGUUUAGUUUAGUUUUAGUCUGAUUUUUUUGGUUACUUUAUUAUUAGUUUAGUAGUUUAUCUUUUGUUUACUUUUAGUUAUUUAGGUUUUUAAUAUAUCCCAUGUCCCUA